AGAUGGUUUUGCAGGAGGGACACUGCAGACUUCCAUCCUGAGAGAGGCAGACGCGACCCACUGAGCUGGCUGUCUGAGAGCACCAAGACGGUCACCUCCACCGUCAGAUGGAGCAUGCUAUCAGGAGACAGGUGGCGAGUGGGAAAACUCGGAUCCUGAGCAGAAUUCUCCACGGGUGAAGCGCAUGUGAAGUCCGACAGACAGCCUUGCAGCGCCUGAUCCGAGGAGCUGGGCCCUGGCUGCCCAGGACGGCAGACACUAGGGAAGGCCAAGCCAGGCUCUGACGCGCCACAUGACUUGGUUCUCUAAGCCUCCAAACUCUGCCCAUCCUGCCUGAAGGUCGCUGCAGGGACAGCAGCUGGGGGUCGGCUUGGGCGUGGCUCUUCACGUUUAGGUGCCGUGGGACCCAGGGUCAGCCCUGCCUCGAGGCCUGGCUCCCACCUCCCAGCGGGGCGACCCUGGGCACGGCCCCUGCUCUGAGCCCCUCCCUCAUGAGCACUGUGCUGACCGCACAGGGACGCUGUAAGGAAGAAGGGAGACAGCGUGUGCAGCGCUUACAAGUGGCCGAGGGGGUGGCGGUGCCCUGAGGCUUGGAGAAGCCCACAAUCUCCUCAGGACUGGUUGGAGGGGUGGAGGGAACCAGUCCCAUUGGUCCCCCUUUCUAAAGCGUGGGGCAGGCCUAGGAGAGUAGGGCAGGCCUGGGAGAGCCAGCCAGGCCUUUAGAAAGGUCUUCAAGCUGGCCCCACGCCCGGCACCAUCUUUUGCAGAGGCCCGUCCCCACAGCCACCCCCAGAACCCUCCCGCCUCUGCAGGUGUGGACAGCUCAGGACUGUGGGGGCAGGCCACCCGCCUCCACCCCAGGCCAGUGGGGGCACCUUGUUGCCAUUGCAGUACAUGGCCAGCAGGCACAGCAGGUGGAAGGCGUGACUGCACUUGGUGAGGCAGCCCACAGCCAGGGGCCCGAUGGCCUUGCUGUCAGUCACGUCGCUGUACCCAGAUGCUGCGGACAGCUUCUCCAUGCAGAUGAUGCAGUCCUGGAGGAGACCAAACACAGGUCAUGCUCGCCAACAGUGGGCUGGGCUGACGAGGGCCAGUCUUGGAAAAAGAGGCUUUCAUGUGCUGAAAU